rnacentral:rRNA from 1 species
UACGUAGGUCCCGAGCGUUGUCCGGAUUUAUUGGGCGUAAAGCGAGCGCAGGUGGUUUAUUAAGUCUGGUGUAAAAAGCAGUGGCUCAACCAUUGUAUGCAUUGGAAACUGGUAGACUUGAGUGCAGGAGAGGAGAGUGGAAUUCCAUGUGUGGCGGUGAAAUGCGUAGAUAUAUGGAGGAACACCGGUGGCGAAAGCGGCUCUCUGGCCUGUAACUGACACUGAGGCUCGAAAGCGUGGGGAGCAAACAGG